CGGUAGCGCUGGCGGUGCUUGAUGACGCCGGAGGAGCGUUACCGGGCUCGAAGGUGUUGAGUGGGAGGCCGAAGAGUAGGAGGGAAGGCUCCUAAGGCUCGGGAUCGCAGAAUAGAGAGGGAGAGGAGAUGAGAGAAGGAGAGAGAGAGAGAGAGAAUGAGAGAUUGGCUUCUCUUCUUCUCCGGCAGCCGGCGACAGCCACGGCGGCGGUUACUGAU
rnacentral:lncRNA from 1 species